UACGGAGGGGGCUAGCGUUGUUCGGAAUUACUGGGCGUAAAGCGCAACGUAGGCGGCUUUGUAAGUUAGAGGUGAAAGCCCGGGGCUCAACUCCGGAAUUGCCUUUAAGACUGCAUCGCUAGAAUUGUGGAGAGGUAAGUGGAAUUCCGAGUGUAGAGGUGAAAUUCGUAGAUAUUCGGAAGAACACCAGGUGGCGAAGGCGACUUACUGGACACAUAUUGACGCUGAGGUGCGAAAGCGUGGGGAGCAAACAGGG
rnacentral:rRNA from 1 species